CACUUGCAUCCUGGAAGGCCUUCCAGCCGAGGGAGUGGGGAGGGGGCGGUGGGCAGCAGCCCUGGACUCCCCGGGGCCCCAGGGAGGGUGUGUGUGCGCACGUGGGUGAGUCUAUUCCCGUGUCAUGUGCAUGUUUGUGCAGGGGUGUGGCCUGAACUCAGGCUCAGCCUCCUUCCCACCAAGAGGUAAGGCAGGAACAUUCCUUGGGGGUGUUGAGAGGACAGAAUGAGGACGCGUUGAGAAACCAUCCUCCAAGCCUUUGCAAUUGGACCUCACAGCCUCCCUCUUCUGUGGAUUGAUUCACUCUUACAGACCAUCCUCACAGCAUGACAUUCGGAUUUCAUGCUUCAGUACAACUACAAAUCGCUGCAUUUCAUGGAUGGCGGGUUUUACAAUCCCGCCGUUCAGUGAGUGGUGAUGGGCACAGUGUGUAUUAAGCAUCUGCCUCUUAUGCAGCCAGGUAGCUGCCAAAUGAGCCACCUCCAUGCAGAUGAAGUCAGACCUUAUUGUUGAAGAGGGGGGGGUGCAUGUGACAUUAAUUGUAUCUUAAUCAUCAAGCUGAAGACAUAACAAGAAAAUAAUGACAUUGCCACUUGAAGGUCAUCUCAGUCUACUGUUCAUCAUGUAAUCAGAUACCCUUAAAUGAACUCCAGCAGAAAAUCCAAGGAAUUCAUGGCUCGAUCUCCUAAGCACAUCCAGGAAAGUGCUAAUACCCUGGAUGUUUAAAAGGCAACGACAGUAGAACAGCUUAUCUGAACGUUUGGUGAUAAAACAAUACAGAAGUGGAAACUCCCGUGAAAAGUUUCCCCCCCCCCUCUCCUUUUAGUAACAAGAUCAGUCAUACGUUAUAGUCGUGUGACACUGUAAAGUUA